rnacentral:rRNA from 1 species
AGCAGCCGCGGUAAUUCCAGCUCCAAUAGCGUAUAUUAAAGUUGUUGCAGUUAAAAAGCUCGUAGUUGAAUUUCGGGAUCAAUUAAUUGGUCGUGCCUCUGGUACGUACUGAUUUUAUUGGUUUCUCCCUUCUGACGAACCAUGAUGUCAUUAAUUUGAUGUCGUGGAGAAUCAGGACUGUUACUUUGAAAAAAUUAGAGUGUUUAAAGCAAGCUAACGCUUGAAUACAUUAGCAUGGAAUAAUGAAAUAGGACGUUUGAUCCUAUUUUGUUGGUUUCUAGGAUCGACGUAAUGAUUAAUAGGGAUAGUUGGGGGCAUUAGUAUUCAAUUGUCAGAGGUGAAAUUCUUGGAUUUAUUGAAGACUAACUACUGCGAAAGCAUUUGCCAAGGAUGUUUUCAUUAAUCAAGAACGAAAGUUAGGGGAUCGAAGACGAUCAGAUACCGUCGUAGUCUUAACCAUAAACUAUGCCGACUAGGGAUCGGAUGAUGUUAAUUUUUUAAUGACUCA